rnacentral:rRNA from 1 species
GGGCUGUUCGCCCAUUAAAGCGGUACGCGAGCUGGGUUCAGAACGUCGCGAGACAGUUUGGUCCCUAUCUGCCGUGGGCGUCGAAAUUUGAGAGGAGUUGACCCUAGUACGAGAGGACCGGGUUGGACUAACCUCUAGUGAAUCUGUUAUGGCGCCAGCUGUACUGCAGAGUAGCUACGUUGGGAAUAGAUAAGCGCUGAAAGCA